UACGGAGGGUGCAAGCGUUAAUCGGAAUUACUGGGCGUAAAGCGUGCGCAGGCGGUUUGUUAAGUCUGUUGUGAAAUCCCCGAGCUCAACUUGGGAAUUGCAAUGGAUACUGGCAGGCUAGAGUAUGGUAGAGGAAGGUGGAAUUCCCGGUGUAGCAGUGAAAUGCGCAGAUAUCAGGAGGAACACCGGUGGCGAAGGCGGAUCUCUGGGCCGAUACUGACGCUGAGGAGCGAAAGUGUGGGGAGCGAACAGG
rnacentral:rRNA from 1 species